GUUGUGAAAGCCUUCCGCUUAACGGAAGAACGGCAUCUGAUACUACAGGGCUUGAGUACGGGAGGGGAGAGUGGAACUUCUGGUGGAGCGGUGAAAUGCGUAUAUAUCAGAAGGAACGCCGGCGGCGAAAGCGACUCUCUGGUCCGAAACUGACGCUGAGUGUGCGAAAGCUAGGGGAGCAAACGGGAUUAGAUACCCCGGUAGUCCUAGCCGUAAACGAUGGGCACUAAGUAAAGGGGU
rnacentral:rRNA from 1 species